GGCCCCGUCGUCUAGCCUGGCCUAGGACAUCUCCUUUUCAAGGAGGUAACACGAGUUCGAAUCUCGUCGGGGCUA
rnacentral:tRNA from 1 species